UGUGGCUGUGAACACGUGACACAUGUUGCAUACUGUGUACCAUUGGAUUGUAGCACUAUGGAGGUCAUCAUCGGUUAUGGGUUGCACAGAUUGUAUAUCAUGCGACAGACAAUGUCACUUUCGGAAGGUCACUCAACAUCAAAUCAUAGCAUUAGCCGAUACUUGCUUCGUGGGGGUAAUUGAAUUUCUGAAAAUUACUUUAUAGUGUUGUCUGCACAAAUCUAUUGUGAAAUGAAAAAUAAUAUACAGAUUUUUUAACUUAUAUACUUUAUCCUUUAAAGUAUACAAUGGAGAGUAUUGAUGUGAUGUUAACAUUUAAACAAAAUCUCUUUGCUCACACUUAGUGCACCUUUUCUUCAUUCCCUCACUGGAUCUCAGGAACCCAAUAAAAGGCCUUUUAGCUGCCUUUUAAUGUUAGUAUUGAUGUGAUGUUAACAUUUAAACAAAAUCUCUUUGCUCACACUUAGUGCACCUUUUCUUCAUUCCCUCACUGGAUCUCAGGAACCCAAUAAAAGGCCUUUUAGCUGCCUUUUAAUGUUAGAGAAUUAGGGUUUGUUUAUUUUUGUUUCCCUUUUCUGUUUUCUUUUUCUUUUUGAAGUUUGUAAUUACUAAAUGUCACUCUGUUUUCACUUUGUUUCAUAAAAUCAUAUGUUCAAAGUUUUGCAUAUAAAGCAAUGGGAACAUCUUUUAUUGUUUUCAUUGUUUCCUGUACAAUUCGAAAAGAGGAAAUGGUGGAAACCAUGUGACAGAAAAUGCCUUUUGAAAUGAAACUGUCCAUUAGCUUCUUGUUCUAACAUAGAAGUAGGAUAUGCAGUGUUCACUGUUUGGUUUCAAUGUUAACCAUAAUAAAAUUGCACAUAAGUAAACUUUUUUCUAAUCCUAAUUGAACUUUAUCUCUCAGUCUAUGCAGAUUGUUACCAUGUUUGUUAUACGUUCGUUUGUAGUGGAAGAAUUUGUGUUUAGGAAAGCUUAAGCUGCAUUAAUUAACUGUACCAAUAUAGAUUCAACGACAGUUGUUGAUAUACCAGGAUGAAGAACUAUCAUUACAUUUGCCAACUUAUCUAAAAAUGCAUUUAAGUAACUGUACAAUGAUGAGCUAUUCUUAUAUUCAUAAUGUACUCCCAGACACCUAUGUUGCUGCUGUGUGUGACUUAACUGCCGAUAAAUACAUGGCUUUAGAUAAUUCUGCAUGUAAAAACGAGCGAGUAGUAAGAUACAUUUUCAUUUAUUUUGUUUCCUACUGUUUCUGCAUUCUUCAUAUAUAUUUUUUCUUAAAUGUACAUCAUCUCCAAUCAUUUAGUGGUCUGAAGACUUUAUUGAUAAAAGAGAUUGGGUUUUAAUUUUACUUCCUGCCCCUCUUGCUUCAUUUACCAGUAACUUGAACCUUUAUUUCAAUUGUGAAGUGACAGCCCGCUUACAUUUUUGCAGGGGUGUGCAUAAAUUGUGGCUACCCUUACACCAUAUUAGUGUGUUGGAGCAUACCACACUAGAAAGGCCCCAUUGUAUUCCCUUGGUAUGAAAAACAGAUCAGCCUCCAAACCGGAUUUUGAAACCAGCUUAUAUCACUGCAGCAUUGCUUCCAUUUACAAGUUUCUUAUUUUCUGAAUCUCUACCAAUUCGAGACUCACUAUUUCUUCUUUCUCAUCACUUCUUUUGAUGCUCUCCUGAUUCUUUUAUGAUGGGUCUUUUGUACGGUAUUUUACCUUUUGUUCGGUAUGUUAUUCCUAUGCCACUGUUUAUCAAAAUAUGCCUAUUUUUCUUUGCGAAAAGGAACCAUCAUCAUUGAUUUGAUUUAACCCCCUAUUAGCGUGUUAAAUGAGUUAUCAUUCUUUAGAAUUUUGAUGUUGUGUUGACCUGAAAAAGAAUUAGCCAAGGGUGACUGGGGUGAUGAGGAACUAAGGGUUUUGCUGGUGUUGUUGAGCCAGGGGCGUUUUGAUGGGGCCUUGGGUGUUGCAGCAGGUGACUGAGCUAAAGUGGUGGUAAAAAAGAUAAGAGAUAAUGGUACUAGGAUUGAGAAGAAGAUAGUUUGCUUCGCCUUCUUAUUGGUAAUUAAAAGUUCUGGA
rnacentral:lncRNA from 1 species